CCCCUCUCAGGGUCACACCUGGAGAGUUUCCAGUACUCGACCAGUCUUGGCUAUGGGAGGGAGAGUCAACCAGAGGCUUACACAUUCCAAUCUUAGCUUGGGCAGUGGCUAACAAGUGGAAGACAAUCUGCUGCAAGU